rnacentral:rRNA from 1 species
AACGAACGCUGGCGGCAGGCUUAACACAUGCCAGUCGAGCGCCCCGCAAGGGGAGCGGCAUACGGGUGAGUAACGCGUGGGAACGUACCUUUUGGUUCGGAACAACUCCGGGAAACUGGAGCUAAUACCGGAUAAGCCCUAACGGGGAAAGAUUUAUCGCCGAAAGAUCGGCCCGCGUCUGAUUAGCUAGUUGGUGAGGUAACGGCUCACCAAGGCGACGAUCAGUAGCUGGUCUGAGAGGAUGAUCAGCCACACUGGGACUGAGACACGGCCCAGACUCCUACGGGAGGCAGCAGUGGGGAAUAUUGGACAAUGGGCGCAAGCCUGAUCCAGCCAUGCCGCGUGAGUGAUGAAGGCCUUAGGGUUGUAAAGCUCUUUUGUCCGGGAAGAUAAUGACUGUACCGGAAGAAUAAGCCCCGGCUAACUUCGUG